rnacentral:rRNA from 1 species
AGCUCCAAUAGCGUAUAUUAAAUUUGUUGAAGUUAAAAAGCUCGUAGUUGGAUCUCAGGUAAGGUGUGUCGGUGUGGACUAUGUUCAUCUCCGUUCAUAUCUGCCUUUUUCAGUUGUAUGUCAAUCCAUGGUUGUCUUUAUUGAUUGCUAUGGAGAGCUCAACACGUUUACCUUGAAAAAAUCAGAGUGCUUAAAGCAGGCCUUGGUGCUUGUAUGUUGUUGCAUGGAAUAAUGGAACAAGACUUCGGAAAUAUUUUGUUGAUUUCAACUUCCGAAGUAAUGAACAAUAGAGACAGUCGGGGGCAUUUCUAUGGCUGUGUUAGAGGUGAAAUUCUGAGAUCGCAGCCAGAGAAACUAUUGCGAAAGCAUUUGCCAAGUAUGUCUUCA